rnacentral:lncRNA from 1 species
CUUAUAACGUGUUGCAAAUACACGCUCAUGGCAGCGACGCGAGCGUGCUUGGUCGCGCUCGCCGUGGCUCUCGCGUUUCUCCUCUUGGAGGGGCCAACAAUGGUAGCGGCGUUGGGGGCUGCCGGAGGAUCGUCGGAAGAGCACCUGAGGCAGGUGCGAAGCUUCCUCAGGCGGGUCAACAAGGCUCCUGUCACGAGCAUUCAGGUACUGGCAUCUUAAAUUCGUAAUGGGAAGAAUGCAUAUAUAUACACGCAGAAACCACUACUGCAGAAACUCUCGUACGUGUCGAUUACGCAAAUGAGAAAAUAUGAAAACUGACAUAGAUACAUCGAGCUAGUGUCUAUGCCGGCCGGCUGCAUGCACAGCCGGCAGAUAUGCAAGUCAUCGGUGUUGUUCAGUGACGGAUAGUCGGACCAAAAUUUGAUGAAAGAAAAUAGAGAAAACAAAGACCCCAGACUUACCCACAAGAUGAUUACCCCACCCCUCGUAUAUAUAUGUCCCUUCUUAUGAUCUCAGUUAUACUUCAUUGUUGAUGCCACAGGUAUAUUUUUUUUUCCUUAGGACUCUUGUUGUCUAAAACAUUUGUCAAUUAUUUAUAAAUUGACUGCAAAUAAUAAAUUUCAAACCUACAAUUUUCAUAUAAAGUUUGUCUCCUUCCGUGCAAGAUAUAAAUGCUUGAAAGAAACUGAAAUUCAAAUUAAUUGCAAAAGAAAAAAAAAAGCUAGAACAUGCAUUUGACCACACUACCAUAACUCCAAUGCAUAUUCGUUCUCUUUCCUUAACAGGUUUCCUCAAAUUUAAUCGAUUAUCACAUCAAAUUUAUGCCUAAGACAGAAGCUAAAGGUGGAGCCUUGUUGGUAGAGGCCAAAGCACCGCUUGCAGAUUGCCAUUAUUUACGCCCAAGUUUACAUGGAUGGGCUGCGGCUUUUGUUUUCAAAAAUACGAAUAUGAUUUGGUGAGAAAGAUAAGUUUGUGAAAUAUAUAGACCAAAUGAGCUCAAGUCGAACACGGACAGCAUCUACAAUAUCAAAUUUGUUUCGUUGGACUCACCGUGGAAUAUAUUUUAUAGUGCAUAUAUUUGGUAGUAUAGAUAUUAUACUUUUUUAUAAACUUGAUCAAAAUUAGAGAAGUUUGACUUAGAACAAAUUUAAUGUGACGUGUAAAAAAAGUAGAGGGAGUAUAUCGUUUCUCAAAUCCGGAGCUAGCUGUGCACAUAUGCACAGCUUUAUGGACUUAUUAUAAUAACAAAAGGUCAUGGACAAUUGAAAUUGCACACAGUUGUGAAACAUAAUCGCAUUUUUUCAACUACUGAUUCUGAGAAAUUAACAGAGCCCAGAUGGAGAUAUCAUAGACUGUGUGCCCAUCUCCAAACAGCCUGCAUUCGAUCAUCCUCUCCUGAAGAACCAUACCAUACAGGUUCGUGCAGCAAUAUUGCCCUUUUGGCCUUUUCAUUUCACUGUUGGGUGGACGUAUAAUGAUGCUCCACACCAUCACCUUUCAGAUGCAGCCUUCUGACCAUCCUAGAGGUCAGUAUGGUGACUCCAACAUUGCACCUCAUCCAAUCACACAAGCAUGGCACCAGAAUGGCAAGUGCCCUGAGAACAAUGUACCAAUCCGAAGGACAAAGGAGGAGGAUGUCCUGAGGGCCAGCUCGGUCAAUUUGUAUGGAAAGAAGAGG